UACGGAGGAUGCAAGCGUUAUCCGGAUUCAUUGGGUUUAAAGGGUGCGUAGGCGGCUUUUUAAGUCAGCGGUGAAAUUUUGCAGCUCAACUGUAAAAGUGCCAUCGAUACUGGUUUUCUUGAGUGUGGAUGAAGUAGGCGGAAUUUGUGGUGUAGCGGUGAAAUGCAUAGAUAUCACGAGGAACUCCGAUUGCGCAGGCAGCUUACUAAACCAUAACUGACGCUCAGGCACGAAGGCGUGGGGAUCAAACAGGAUUAGA
rnacentral:rRNA from 1 species